AACGAACGCUGGCGGCAUGCCUAACACAUGCAAGUCGAACGAAGGCUUCGGCCUUAGUGGCGCACGGGUGCGUAACGCGUGGGAAUCUGCCCCUCGGUUCGGAAUAACAGUUAGAAAUGACUGCUAAUACCGGAUGAUGACUUCGGUCCAAAGAUUUAUCGCCGAGGGAUGAGCCCGCGUAAGAUUAGGUAGUUGGUGGGGUAAAGGCCUACCAAGCCGACGAUCUUUAGCUGGUCUGAGAGGAUGAUCAGCCACACUGGGACUGAGACACGGCCCAGACUCCUACGGGAGGCAGCAGUGGGGAAUAUUGGACAAUGGGGGAAACCCUGAUCUAGCCAUGCCGCGUGAUCGAUGAAGGCCUUAGGGUUGUAAAGAUCUUUCAGGUGGGAAGAUAAUGACUGUACCACCAGAAGAAGCCCCGGCUAACUCCGUGCCAGCAGCCGCGGUAA
rnacentral:rRNA from 1 species